GACGGAAGGUGCAAGCGUUACUCGGAAUUACUGGGCGUAAAGCGUCCGCAGGCUUUGUAUCAAGUCCGGCGUAAAAGCACGGAGCCCAACUCCGUGUACGUGCUAGAAACUGAUACGAUAGAGUCAUUCAGAGGCAUCUGGAAUGCCAUGUGUAGGGGUAAAAUCCGUUGAUCCAUGGUAGAACGCCAAAAGCGAAGGCAAGAUGCUGGGAAUGUACUGACGCUCAGGGACGAAAGCGUGGGGAGCGAACGGG
rnacentral:misc_RNA from 1 species